rnacentral:rRNA from 1 species
UGGGGAAUCUUGCACAAUGGGGGAAACCCUGAUGCAGCGACGCCGCGUGAACGAUGAAGCCCUUCGGGGUGUAAAGUUCUUUCGACAGGAACGAUAAUGACGGUACCUGGAGAAGAAGCUGCGGCUAACUACGUGCCAGCAGCCGCGGUAAUACGUAGGCAGCGAGCGUUGUUCGGAGUUACUGGGCGUAAAGAGUGCGUAGGCGGCGAGCCAAGUUUGGUGUGAAAUCUCCCGGCUUAACCGGGAGGGUGCGCCGAAAACUGGUUGGCUGUAGUAUGGGAGAGGAUAGCGGAAUUCCUGGUGUAGCGGUGAAAUGAGUAGAUAUCAGGAGGAACACCUGCGGUGUAGACAGCUGUCUGGACCAGAACUGACGCUGAGGCACGAAAGCGUGGGUAGC